rnacentral:rRNA from 1 species
CCUACGGGAUGCAGCAGUGGGGGAUCUUGCACCAUGGGGGAAACCCUGAUGCAGCGACGUCGCGUGUGGGAAGACGGUCCUCUGGAUUGUACACCACUGUCCCCAGGGACGAAGAUGACGGUACCUGGGGAGGAAGCUCAGGCUCACUACGUGCCAGCAGCAGCGGUAAUACGUAGGGAGCAAGCGUUGUACGGAAUUACUGGGGGUAAAGGGAGCGUAGGCGGGAUUGCAAGUUAGGUGUUAAAACUACCGGCUCAACUGGUAGUCGCACUCAAAACUGCUAGUCUGCAGUGAAGUAGAGGCAGGCGGAAUGCCUAGUGUAGCGGUGAAAUGCGUAGAUAUUAGGAGGAACACCAGUGGCGAAGGCGGCCUGCUGGGCUUUUACUGACGCUGAGGCUCGAAAGUGUGGGGAGCGAACAGGAUUAGAUACCCUAGUAGUC